AGCCACGAGGUGUAUAGUACAUGUCAGACUGCAAAUCUGAAGUAGGCAGCUGCCCGGGGUUU
rnacentral:tRNA from 1 species